GGGAGCGAGGCCGCAGUGGCAGCGGCGGGCGCUCGGACCCCGGCUGCCCCGCCGCGCCCGCCGGCGUCCGGCGCUCCCCGUCCCGGCAUGGCAGCCCCCGUGGGCCGGCGCGGCUCAGAAAGAAAAGAAAAGAAAGAAAAAUCUGGAAUGUAGCUGAGCUCCACGCUCCCACCUGGGGGCUGGAGUUGAUAUAAGCCCUGGAGGCUUGAGUGACCUGUGAGAAGCCAGUGGAAGCCAUUCGUGCUUUCCCCACAAACCGACAACUGGAACGAGGAUGGGAUAUUCGGACACUCUUACCACGCACCAGCCCCUGUGGUCGAUGCUUUGUGAGCAUCAGACCUUCAGCUUCCCGGUGAGAGAGAUUACUGCCCCAUUUUGCAGAGGAGGAAGCUGAGGCUCAGAGGCCGGGUGCCCUGCCCCAGCCAGUGAGCAACAGGGUCACGCAUCAGCUCAGGCCCUUUUGAGCCCCAAAUCGGAAUUGGUAGCCUCUGAGCACUAUUGCUGUGUGUAUCCAUAAAACGUUGCGGUUUCUGGGAUUUCUUCGAUGGGAGUUAUUUUCUUGGCUGGAGCAGGGGACCCGUCUCCCCUGUUGCCAGGUGGUCCCCACUGCCCUCUCCCUUUCCCUCAGAGACGGAGCGCCUCCUGACACCCAGUCCUGGGUAUGGCACCCGGGCCGGGGCUUCCCCGGUCCCUCCGGAAGAGGAGGACCUGCGUCGCCGCCUCAAAUAUUUUUUCAUGAGUCCCUGUGACAAAUUCCGGGCCAAGGGUCGCAAGCCCUUCAAGCUGAUGCUGCAAGUCGUGAAGAUCUUGGUGGUCACUGUGCAGCUCAUCCUGUUCGGGCUCAGCAACCAGCUGGCAGUGACCUUCCGGGAAGAGAACACCAUUGCCUUCCGGCACCUCUUCCUCCUGGGCUACUCUGAUGGGGCGGAUGAUACCUUCGCAGCCUACACGCGGGAGCAGCUCUACCAGGCCAUCUUCCACACCGUGGACCAGUACCUGAUGCUCCCCGAUGUGUCGCUGGGCCGGUAUGCCUACGUGCGGGGCGGAGGUGGCCCCUGGGCCAAUGGCUCGGCCCUGGCCCUCUGCCAGCACUACUACCACCGCGGCCACGUGGACCCGGCCAACGACACCUUUGACAUUGAUCCGCUGGUUGUCACUGACUGCAUCCGGGUGGACCCCCCUGAGAGACCCCUUGUGCCCCCCAGUGAUGAUCUCUCCCUCUCGGACGGCAGCGCCAGUUACAAGAACCUCACGCUCAAAUUCCACAAGCUGAUCAACGUCACCAUCCACUUCCAGCUGAAGACCAUCAACCUCCAGAGCCUGAUCAACAAUGAAAUUCCAGACUGCUACACCUUCAGUGUCCUGAUCACUUUUGACAAUAAGGCGCACAGCGGCCGUAUCCCCAUCAGCCUGGAGACCCAGGCCCACAUCCAGGAGUGUAAGCACCCCAGCGUCUUCAGGCACGGAGACAACAGCUUCCGGCUCCUGUUUGACGUGGUCGUGAUCCUCACCUGCUCCUUCUCCUUCCUGCUGUGUGCCCGCUCGCUGCUCCGUGGCUUUCUGCUGCAGAACGAGUUUGUUGGGUUCAUGUGGCGGCAGCGGGGACGGGUCAUCAGCCUGUGGGAGCGGCUGGAAUUUGUCAACGGCUGGUACAUCCUGCUGGUCACCAGCGAUGUGCUCACUAUCUCGGGUACCGUCAUGAAGAUUGGCAUCGAAGCCAAGAACCUGGCGAGCUACGAUGUCUGCAGCAUCCUCCUGGGAACUUCCACCUUGCUCGUCUGGGUCGGCGUCAUCCGCUAUCUGACCUUCUUCCAUAAGUACAACAUUCUCAUUGCCACGCUGCGGGUGGCCCUGCCCAGCGUCAUGCGUUUCUGCUGCUGUGUGGCUGUCAUCUACUUGGGCUAUUGCUUCUGUGGCUGGAUCGUGUUGGGGCCCUACCACGUGAAGUUUCGCUCGCUGUCCAUGGUGUCCGAGUGCCUGUUCUCGCUCAUCAACGGGGACGACAUGUUCGUGACGUUCGCCGCGAUGCAGGCCCAGCAGGGCCGCAGCAGCCUCGUCUGGCUGUUCUCCCAGCUCUACCUCUACUCCUUCAUCAGCCUCUUCAUCUACAUGGUGCUGAGCCUUUUCAUCGCGCUCAUCACUGGUGCCUACGACACCAUCAAGGUCAGCGCCGGCCCCCACGCCCUCCCCCCAGCCUGCCUCCAGCGGGGCCAGCCCUCACAUACUCACAGCCGUGUACCUGGGGCUCCAGGUCCCCUUAGUAGGGUCUCAGGGCACAUGAGGCAGGGUGAGGAGGGAAGGGUCCAGGGGGAGAAGGUGGGAGACUCUGAGAAGCCAGAGAGAGGUGACUGGGGUGGUGGUGCCGAUCGCAGCCGCCAGUCUUGGUUUCAUCCGCGUGGGGUUCUGGCCAGGUAAGGUUUCCUGAGUCUGCUUUUACCAAGCGAGAGACCAGGCUGUAGAGUUUUAGUGACUUGCCUGAGGUCAGCUGCUAAGCGGCCAGGCUCAACCCAGGACUGAGGGAUUCCGGAAGGCCCCGCUCCUAAUUCUUCUGUAGGGUGGUCUGGGCAGGAGCUCUUUAAGUCCAGGGAGUGGCGGUCCUGCAGGUUGCGGGGGUCAGAGGAAAGGGGUCGGAGUAGAAUGUGGGGGUGGCAGGUGGGCCAGACCCUGUGCUGGGUGGGUAUCUAGGAAACGCAGUGUAUACAGAUUAGUCUGGACCAGUGGGCAGGGUGGUGACCAGCUGGUGAAAGGGAUGAAGGCUACAGAGGGUCCCCUGGUCUAGACUGGUACUGGGGUGAGUCUGGGAAAGUUUCUAGAAUGUGCUGUCUAAUACUAAUCUUAGCCACCUGUGACUACUUAAAUUUUGACUUGAAUCAAAGUGAAUUCCACACUAAGUUCCUCACUCACAUCUUUCGAGUGUCAAAUGCCCGAAAGCCAGUAUGGCUGGUGACGACCAGGUUGGUCGGCACAGAUAGCAAACCUUGCCAUCAUCUCAGAAACUUCUGGAUUGACGAGAUGCGAGUUGAAGAGAGAGAGCACCUGGGAGAAGGAACAGCCAGAGCAAAGGCCCAGUAGCCAGAAAGGACUUGGGGAAGAGAUGCUGAUUCCUCUACCAGGUUGGGAGGGGGUGAAGGCUCUGCUGAAAGCAGAUGUGCACCCCCCCCCCACUUGCAAACAUGGAUAAACCAUCCCACAGACACACUCUGUCACCCAGGCCCGAGGAGCCCCUGUGGAGCUUGCUCUAGCGCCUCAACGUCACACGUGUGUAUCAGCUUGGGACGUACAAGCCCAGACCUUGAUCCCGCUGUGUGCACCCAACUCAGUAGUUGCGUGUCAAGCACCCAGAUUGUGUUACGUGUGGUUCUGGGUGCUGGAGCACAGCAGAGGGCACCAACUGACUGAGAUGCGGGGGCACAUAUUCGGGAGGCCAGGGAAGGUCUCGGGGGGAAGCACACCAUGAGGAAGGACAGGUGCAGGGGACAGUGAAUACAGAGUGAGUGCAAAGGGGUGGGGGUGGGGGGAGGCGGGGAAGCUUGGCUGGUGGAAGGAACCAGGAGGAGAUCCAGUUGGCUGGCCGGCGAGGUGGUGGUGGGGAGGCCAGACAUCAAAGGGGCCACCCCGCGUUUCCCCACAGCACCCCGGAGGUGCUGGCGCGGAGGAGAGCGAGCUCCAGGCCUACAUCGCGCAGUGCCAGGACAGCCCCACCUCCGGCAAGUUCCGUCGAGGGAGCGGCUCGGCCUGCAGCCUCCUCUGCUGCUGCAGCAGGGACGCCUCGGAGGAGCAU